AUGAUAUCGUUUUGUAAAUGGUGCUUAUGUCAGAUGCGACCCAAAAUGGUGGACGAUUGGAGUAAUUGGGUUUCAUUUUUCAGUGCUGCUUUUCCUGAAUGUUCCUAUAAAGCAAUGGAGAUAAACGUGAUGAAUCUAGAGCUGUCCAAUUAUGCCUUGGUUUGUAAAUGGGGUUGGAGAUGCCUUUUUGAACCAAAGGCGAUUAGGUUCGAUCUUGUUUCCUUCAUGUAUGAAGAUGGUCUGGUGAAUUUUCAGGGUGAUGUUUCGUUGCGUAAUCUGAACAAUUUUUCUUUGUGGUGGAGGGAUAUGAGAGAUGUUUGUAGGCUCAAGUUGGAUAGUCAGCCCAGGUUUUAA